AAACCAACAGGGAUUGCCUUAGUAGCGGCGAGUGAAGCGGCAAAAGCUCAAAUUUGAAAUCUGGCACUUUCAGUGUCCGAGUUGUAAUUUGAAGAAGGUAUCUUUGGGUCUGGCUCUUGUCUAUGUUUCUUGGAACAGAACGUCACAGAGGGUGAGAAUCCCGUGCGAUGAGAUGUCCCAGACCUAUGUAAAGUUCCUUCGAAGAGUCGAGUUGUUUGGGAAUGCAGCUCUAAGUGGGUGGUAAAUUCCAUCUAAAGCUAAAUAUUGGCGAGAGACCGAUAGCGAACAAGUACAGUGAUGGAAAGAUGAAAAGAACUUUGAAAAGAGAGUGAAAAAGUACGUGAAAUUGUUGAAAGGGAAGGGCUUGAGAUCAGACUUGGUAUUUUGUAUGUUACUCUCUCGGGGGUGGCCUCUACAGUUUACCGGGCCAGCAUCAGUUUGAGCGGUAGGAUGAGUGCAAAGAAAUGUGGCACUGCUUCGGUAGUGUGUGAUAGUCUUUGUCGAUACUGCCAGCUUAGACUGAGGACUGCGGCUCCGGCCUAGGAUGUUGGCUUAAUGAUCUUAAGUCGCCCUCCUCGAAAC
rnacentral:rRNA from 1 species